rnacentral:rRNA from 1 species
GCCCUUAGAGUUGACCUGGCUCAGAACGAACGGUGGCGGCGUGGAUAAGACAUGCAAGUCGAACGGGAUUUAUUUGUAGCAAUACCGAUAAAGUUCAGUGGCGUAAGGGUGCGUAACACGUGGGCAAUCUGCCCUGAAGCGCGGGAUAGCUUGGCGAAAGCCAAAUUAAUACCGCAUGUGGCUAUUGGAGGAGUCUCCGGGAUGCUAAAGACGGCGCAAGCUGUCACUUCAGGAUGAGCUCGCGGCCUAUCAGCUAGUUGGCGGGGUAACGGCCCACCAAGGCUAUGACGGGUAGCUGGUCUGAGAGGACGACCAGCCACACGGGGACUGAGACACGGCCCCGACUCCUACGGGAGGCAGCAGUGGGGAAUUUUCCGCAAUGGGCGAAAGCCUGACGGAGUGACGCCGCGUGUGGGACGAAGGCCUUCGGGUCGUAAACCACUGUCAGUGGGAAAGAUGGGUGUCGGCGCGAUAACCGCCGGCAUCUGACGGUACCUGCAGAGGAAGCCCCGGCCAACUCUGUGCCAGCAGCCGCGGUAAGACAGAGGGGGCAAGCGUUGCUCGGAAUUACUGGGCGUAAAGGGCGCGUAGGCGGAAUGGCAAGUCGGUCGUGAAAUCCUUCGGCUCAACCGAAGAACGUCGAUCGAAACUGUCGUUCUUGAGGAUUGCAGAGGAGACUGGAAUUCCCGGUGUAGCGGUGAAAUGUGUAGAGAUCGGGAGGAACACCGGUGGCGAAGGCGGGUCUCUGGGCAAUUCCUGACGCUGAGGCGCGAAAGCGUGGGGAGCAAACGGGAUUAGAUACCCCGGUAGUCCACGCUGUAAACGAUGACGACUAGGUGUGGGGGGGUUCAGUCCCUUCCGUGCCGCAGCUAACGCAUUAAGUCGUCCGCCUGGGGAGUACGGCCGCAAGGUUGAAACUCAAAGGAAUUGACGGGGGCCCGCACAAGCGGUGGAGCAUGUGGUUCAAUUCGAUGCUGAGCGAAGAACCUUACCUGGGCUUGACAUGUAGGAAGUAGAAACCGGAAACGGCGACGACCUGUUAAGUCAGGAACCUGCACAGGUGGUGCAUGGCUGUCGUCAGCUCGUGCCGUGAGGUGUUGGGUUAAGUCCCGCAACGAGCGCAACCCUCACUCUAUGUUGCCAUCGGGUAAUGCCGGGCACUCUUAGGGAACCGCCGGCGAAGAGCUGGAGGAAGGGGGGGAUGACGUCAAGUCCGUAUGCCCCUUAUGUCCAGGGCUACACACAUGCUACAAUGGCCGAUACAGAGGGUUCCCAACCCGCGAGGGGGAGGCAAUCCCACAAAGUCGGUCUCAGUUCGGAUUGCAGGCUGCAACUCGCCUGCAUGAAGUCGUAAUCGCUAGUAAGCGCAGAUCAGCAGNCUGCGCNGAUUAUAUCCCGGGGGGUGACACACCGC